rnacentral:rRNA from 1 species
CCUACGGGAGGCAGCAGUGAGGAAUAUUGGUCAAUGGGCGCGAGCCUGAACCAACCAAGUAGCGUGAAGGAUGACUGCCCUACGGGUUGUAAACUUCUUUUAUAAAGGAAUAAAGUGAGGCACGUGUGCCUUUUUGUAUGUACUUUAUGAAUAAGGAUCGGCUAACUCCGUGCCAGCAGCCGCGGUAAUACGGAGGAUCCGAGCGUUAUCCGGAGUUAUUGGGUUUAAAGGGAGCGUAGAUGGGUUGUUAAGUCAGUGGUGAAAGUUUGCGGCUCAACCGUAAAAUUGCAAUUGAUACUGGCUGUCUUGAGUACAGUUGAGGUAGGCGGAAUUCGUGGUGUAGCGGUGAAAUGCUUAGAUAUCACGAAGAACUCCGAUUGCGAAGGCAGCUUACUAAACUGCCACUGACAUUGAUGCUCGAAAGUGUGGGUAUCAAACAGGAUUAGAUACCCGAGUAGUC